ACAACGACUCUCGGCAACGGAUAUCUCGGCUCUCGCAUCGAUGAAG
rnacentral:rRNA from 1 species